UCUCCUUUCUUAGCUGGUUCCUGCUGCUAGGGCAUGAGAGGCUGGGAAGGGAGGACUGGGCUGUCUCCUGCUUCAGCCAACAAAGUGAAUCAGACAAAGAAUGAGGCUGAACUCAUCAAGGGUGAGUGGGAGAGAGCAUCAUCAAGGUCUUUUAAAUCAGACAGGAUGCUGUAGAACCACAUGGACAUAAUCACAUAAUCAUGGUCCUUAAAGAAUUUUAAAUGUUUUUUUUCUUUAUCUGAUGGCUCCAUUGCAGACAGACUUGGCUGUGUCCACACCAGAGCAUGAGACCGUCACUGUUUUUUGGUUAUGUCAGUGAACUAUCUUCACUCCCUCCCACCAAGAAGCAUAGGAAUGUAUUCACCACCAGAUUAAAACCAGCAUCAAUUUGA